UACGUAGGGUCCGAGCGUUGUCCGGAAUUACUGGGCGUAAAGAGCUCGUAGGUGGUUUGUCGCGUUGUUCGUGAAAACUCACAGCUCAACUGUGGCGUGCGGUCGAUACGGGCGGGCUAGAGUUCGGUAGGGGAGACUGGAAUUCCUGGUGUAGCGGUGAAAUGCGCAGAUAUCAGGAGGAACACCGGUGGCGAAGGCGGGUCUCUGGGCCGAUACUGACGUGGAGGAGCGAAAAGCGUGGGGGAGCGAACAGG
rnacentral:rRNA from 1 species